UACAGAGGUGGCAAGCGUUGUUCGGAAUUACUGGGCGUAAAGGGCGCGUAGGCGGCCUUCUCAGUCAGACGUGAAAUCCCCGGGCUUAACUCGGGAACUGCGUCUGAUACUGGAAGGCUGGAGUUCGGGAGAGGGAUGUGGAAUUCCAGGUGUAGCGGUGAAAUGCGUAGAUAUCUGGAGGAACACCAAUUGCGAAGGCAGCUCGCUGGGACGUUACUGACGCUGAGACGGCGAAAGCGUGGGGAGCAAACAGGG
rnacentral:rRNA from 1 species